GAAGGUAUAGCUCAGUGGUAGAGCACAUGCUUAGCGCACACGAGGUCCUGGUUCAAUCCCCAGUCCCUGCA
rnacentral:tRNA from 1 species